rnacentral:tRNA from 2 species
GGGCCUUUAGCUCAGCUGGGAGAGCGCUUGCAUGGCAUGCAAGAGGUCAGCGGUUCGAUCCCGCUAAGGUCCACCA